AGCAGGCGUGGCUCCCACAGCGACAGGUCACCGCACCAUGAACCAGGACCUGGAGACCCUGAUGGCCUUGGAACGGGCCCACAUCCUAGCCAAUUACACCCAGGCACGCCCAGUAGGGCUCCAGGGGCCGCCC